rfam:Schistosoma haematobium scaffold293_13, whole genome shotgun sequence.
GCACUGCUGAGGAGUCCCAUAAUAGGAUGAGACGGCCGUCCAAUGC